rnacentral:rRNA from 1 species
CCUACGGGGGGCAGCAGUGGGGAAUAUUGCACAAUGGAGGGAACUCUGAUGCAGCGACGCCGCGUGAGCGAUGAAGGCCUUCGGGUCGUAAAGCUCUGUCCUAUGGGACGAUAAUGACGGUACCAUAGGAGGAAGCCCCGGCUAACUACGUGCCAGCAGCCGCGGUAAUACGUAGGGGGCGAGCGUUGUCCGGAAUUACUGGGCGUAAAGGGUACGCAGGCGGCCAUGUAAGUCAGAUGUGAAAGGUCACGGCUCAACCGUGGUAAGCAUUUGAAACUGUGUGGCUUGAGUUAAGGAGAGGAAAGUGGAAUUCCUGGUGUAGCGGUGAAAUGCGUAGAUAUCAGGAGGAAUACCAGUGGCGAAGGCGACUUUCUGGACUUAAACUGACGCUGAGGUACGAAAGCGUGGGGAGCAAACAGGAUUAGAUACCCUAGUAGUC